rnacentral:rRNA from 1 species
CCUACGGGCGGCAGCAGUGGGGAAUAUUGCACAAUGGGCGAAACCCUGAUGCAGCGACGCCGCGUGAGUGAAGAAGUAUCUCGGUACGUAAAGCUCUAUCAGCAGGGAAGAUAAUGACGGUACCUGACCAAGAAGCCCCGGCUAACUACGUGCCAGCAGCCGCGGUAAUACGUAGGGGGCAAGCGUGAUCCGGAUUUACUGGGUGUAAAGGGAGCGUAGACGGUAGUACAAGUAGGGUGUGAAAUCCCGGGGCUUAACCCCGGAACUGCUGUGGAAACUGUGCGGCUGGAGUGCAGGAGGGGGAGGCGGAAUUCGUGGUGUAGCGGUGAAAUGCGUAGAUAUUAGGAAGAAAACCGAUGGCGAAGGCGGCUUACUGGACUGUAACUGACGCUGAGGCACGAAAGCGUGGGGAGCAAACAGGAUUAGAUACCCUAGUAGUC